CAGUCGCCACGGUAAUACAGAGGGUGCAAGCGUUAAUCGGAAUUACUGGGCGUAAAGCGCGCGUAGGUGGUUUGUUAAGUUGGAUGUGAAAGCCCCGGGCUCAACCUGGGAACUGCAUCCAAAACUGGCAAGCUAGAGUACGGUAGAGGGUGGUGGAAUUUCCUGUGUAGCGGUGAAAUGCGUAGAUAUAGGAAGGAACACCAGUGGCGAAGGCGACCACCUGGACUGAUACUGACACUGAGGUGCGAAAGCGUGGGGAGCAAACAGGAUUAGAUACCCCCGUAGUCCCUGUCUCUUAUAC
rnacentral:rRNA from 1 species